ACAGGUCUGAACACAGCUCGAUGGCAACUCUCUGCGCAGUCUGCCAAGGCUCCAGCUCCAAACUGCUUCUCGGCAUCUUCCACCUUCUUUUUCAGAAAGAAGCGGAGUGCAGGGUGCCAGAGCGUUCUCAGGAACAGUGAUGGAUGUGUUUCCAAUAACUCGAUAGCACACCGGACCGCAGGAGAAUGUGAUGGAGAACAGCAGCUGAGGAAGGAAAGGCCGUUGCAGCAGAUAGUUGGGGAGCCACGUGCUGAAGCAGAAGAGUUUCCCAGCCGGAUGCAUCUCACAGAUCCCCAGACAGCUGACGUUCCCAGGAAGGGCAAGUCCCGCUGCGUUCUGGGGCAGGGCUGUCAGGAUGUGGGAAGAGCCAGCCUUCGGAAGAAUUGCUGCUUAUCUUCCCUCCACCAAGACGCUGAAGCCCAGCACGACAAACUGUUAUGUCUGCCUUGGAUUGGUGACAUCGAGAACGAUACGUGCUGGAUCACCAGAACAGAGUGGGAGCAGCACAGCUUGGCUUCGGGAGCCUAA
rnacentral:lncRNA from 1 species